UUACGGCCAUACCACGUUGAAACACCAGUUCUUGUACGAUCACCGAAGGUAAGCAACGUUGAGCCUGAUCAGUAUCUAGAUGCGUGACCGCUUGGGAAUACCAGUUACUGUAA